GCAAGUCGAACGCUGAUGACCUGGCUUUUGUUGGGUUGGAUGAGUGGCGAACGGGUGAGUAACACGUGAGUAACCUGCCCUCUUCUUUGGGAUAACGCCCGGAAACGGGUGCUAAUACUGGAUAUUCACUGGCCUUCGCAUGGGGGUUGGUGGAAAGGUUUGUUCUGGUGGGGGAUGGGCUCGCGGCCUAUCAGCUUGUUGGUGGGGUGAUGGCCUACCAAGGCUUUGACGGGUAGCCGGCCUGAGAGGGUGACC
rnacentral:rRNA from 1 species